rnacentral:rRNA from 1 species
CUACGGGGGGCUGCAGUGGGGAAUAUUGCGCAAUGGACGAAAGUCUGACGCAGCGACGCCGCGUGUGGGAUGAAGCCUUUCGGGGUGUAAACCACUGUCAGAGGGAAAGAACCUCGCGUACUCAAAUAGGGUGCGCGAUUGACGGUACCCUCAAAGGAAGCGCCGGCUAACUGCCGUGCCAGCAGCCGCGGUAAGACGGAGGGCGCAAGCGUUGUUCGGAAUUACUGGGCGUAAAGCGCACGCAGGCGGUUUACUAAGUCCUUUGUGAAAGCCCGGGGCUCAAGUCCGGAACUGCAGAGGAUACUGGUAGACUAGAGACAGGUAGAGGCUAGCGGAAUUCCUGGUGUAGCGGUGGAAUGCGUAGAUAUCAGGAAGAACACCUGUGGCGAAGGCGGCUAGCUGGGCCUGUUCUGACGCUCAUGUGCGAAAGCGUGGGGAGCAAACAGGAUUAGAUACCCCCGUAGUC